rnacentral:rRNA from 1 species
UACGGAGGAUCCGAGCGUUAUCCGGAUUUAUUGGGUUUAAAGGGUGCGUAGGCGGCCUGGUAAGUCAGGGGUGAAAGACGGUAGCUUAACUAUCGCAGUGCCCUUGAUACUGCUGGGCUUGAAUGUAGUUGAGGUAGGCGGAAUGUGACAAGUAGCGGUGAAAUGCAUAGAUAUGUCACAGAACACCAAUUGCGAAGGCAGCUUACUAAAGUAUGAUUGACGCUAAGGCACGAAAGCGUGGGGAUCAAACAGG